GUAUCUGAAGUCUGACGAGGAUGAGAACCUCCGGGGGCAAGAGGUUCGACUCGAGCGAAGCGAGAGAACGUUGCGUCAGCAACGGCCCGCAGUGGCAAGUCAUCCUCUGUCACCGGCAG
rnacentral:sRNA from 112 species